rnacentral:misc_RNA from 1 species
GAUGAAGAACGUAGCGAAAUGCGAUAAGUAAUGUGAAUUGCAGAAUUCAGUGAAUCAUCGAAUCUUUGAACGCACCUUGCGCCCUUUGGCUAUUCUGAAGGGCAUGCCUGUUUGAGUAUCAUGAACACCUCAACUCUCAUGGUUCGCCAUGAUGAGCUUGGACUUUGGGGGUCUUGCUGGCCUACGGUCGGCUCCUCUCCAAUGAAUCAGCUUGCCAGUGUUUGGUAGAGUCGCAGGUGUGAUAACUAUCUACGCUUGUGGUUUUCUGCCAGAUAACCUUCAGUGAUGGAGGUUCGCUGGAGCUUAUAAAUGUCUCUCCCCAGUGAGGACAGCUUUUUGAACGUUUGAUCUCAAAUCAGGUAGGACUACCCGCUGAACUUAAGCAUAUCAAUAAGCGGAGGA